rnacentral:rRNA from 1 species
UACAGAGGGUGCGAGCGUUGUUCGGAAUUACUGGGCGUAAAGCGCGCGCAGGCGGUCUUCCAAGUCAGUGGUGAAAGCCCGGAGCUCAACUCCGGAACUGCCAUUGAAACUGUGAGACUUGAGGAUGAGAGAGGUGAGUGGAAUUCCCAGUGUAGAGGUGAAAUUCGUAGAUAUUGGGAAGAACACCGGUGGCGAAGGCGGCUCACUGGCUCAUUUCUGACGCUCAGGCGCGACAGCGUGGGGAUCAAACAGG